AGUGAACGCUGGCGGCAGGCCUAAUACAUGCAAGUCGAACGGCAGCACAGCAGAGCUUGCUCUGUGGGUGGCGAGUGGCGGACGGGUGAGGAAUACGUGGGAAUCUGCCCAGUCGUGGGGGAUAACGUAGGGAAACUUACGCUAAUACCGCAUGCGCCCUUCGGGGAAAGCCGGGGACCUUCGGGCCUGGCGCGAUUGGAUGAGCCCACGUCGGAUUAGCUAGUUGGCGGGUAAAGGCCCACCAAGGCGACGAUCCGUAGCUGGUCUGAGAGGAUGAUCAGCCACACUGGAACUGAGACACGGUCCAGACUCCUACGGGAGGCAGCAGUAGGGAAUAUUGGACAAUGGGCGCAAGCCUGAUCCAGCCAUGCCGCGUGAGUGAAGAAGGCCCUCGGGUUGUAAAGCUCUUUUGUCCGGAAAGAAAAGCGCCGGGUUAAUACCCUGGUGUCCUGACGGUACCGGAAGAUAAGCACCGGCUAACUUCGUGCCAGCAGCCGCGGUAAU
rnacentral:rRNA from 1 species